rnacentral:guide_RNA from 1 species
AUAUAUAAAUCUAAUAAAUAUAGAAAGCUGUGAGAUAACAAAUAAGAACU